rnacentral:lncRNA from 1 species
GUUCUUAGCUGCGGUGUGUGAUGAUUUAAACAACGCCUCGAUGCUGUAGGAUGUUGGUGCUCACAAAUUAGUGGGAAUGCUCACAAAGAGCCAUUGCAUUAUAAAAGACUCAAACAUAAAAUUCCUCCAAAGAUGGUGAGUACUUUUGGUGAGUACAAAAUUAUUU